rnacentral:lncRNA from 1 species
GGAAAGUCAUAUCGCCAAAUCAUUGGAGCAUCAAUGGGAGCAACAGCUUCCCCUGAAAUAUGUGACAUUGCUAUUUACAAUCACAUAAACUCAAUCCUUAAAAAACUCUCCAAUCUCUGAAAAAAUAAUUUUUCAUAAAAGAAUGAGAGAUGAUGGACUUCUAAUGGUGAAAGCAAAAGAGUCUGAAAUUGACUUUAUGUUUGAAAAUGCAAAUAAAAAAACAUGACCUGCUAAAGUUCACUUACGAAUGCAAUAAACAGUCCAUAAAAUUUCUAGACCUAGAAAUCUUCAAGGGCGAACGCUUCAAAAAUACUGGUGUUUUAGACCUGAAAUGUUUUACAAAGAAAACUGAAAAAUUCCAAUAUCUUCAUAAAAACUCAAACCAUCCCAUCUCAAACUUUAAAUCUUUUAUUAAAGGCGAAGGCAUUCGCAUACUUAGAAACACCAACAAUGAAAGUGAAUUUCAAACCAGAAAAAAUCUUUUUAUUGAAAAACUGUUAAUAAGAGGAUAUAAACGGAAAUUGGUAGAACAAAUUCUAUCAAAAAUCAAAUUCCAAGACAGGCAAAUUAAAUUAAAGAAAAAGAACAAAGUUGAAAAUAAAUACAAUGUAUCAUUCAUUACAAAUUAUCAUCCUCAAGCAGAAAAACUUCAAAAAGUAU